AAGGAUUUAAGUUAAAUAAACUAUUAGCCUUCAAAGUUAAAAAUAGAGAAAUAUUUCUAAGCCUUA
rnacentral:tRNA from 1 species